rnacentral:rRNA from 1 species
AGACGUAGGGGGCGAGCGUUGUCCGGAAUUACUGGGCGUAAAGAGCACGUAGGCGGAUAUUUAAGUCAGGUGUGAAAGACCGCAGCUCAACUGCGGGGUUGCACCUGAAACUGGGUAUCUUGAGGGCAGGAGAGGGAAGUGGAAUUCCUGGUGUAGCGGUGAAAUGCGUAGAAAUCAGGAGGAACACCAGUGGCGAAGGCGACUUUCUGGACUGACCCUGACGCUGAGGUGCGAAAGCGUGGGUAGCAAACAGGAUUAGAUACCCUGGUAGUCCACGCCGUAAACGAUGGAUACUAGGUGUAGGAGGUAUCGACCCCUUCUGUGCCGCAGCUAACGCAAUAAGUAUCCCGCCUGGGGAGUACGGUCACAAGGCUGAA